AACGAACGCUGGCGGCAGGCUUAACACAUGCAAGUCGAACGCCCCGCAAGGGGAGUGGCAGACGGGUGAGUAACGCGUGGGAAUCUACCCAAUUCUUCGGAACAACACAUGGAAACGUGUGCUAAUACCGAAUGAGCCCUUCGGGGGAAAGAUUUAUCGGAAUUGGAUGAGCCCGCGUUGGAUUAGCUAGUUGGUGGGGUAAAGGCCUACCAAGGCGACGAUCCAUAGCUGGUCUGAGAGGAUGAUCAGCCACACUGGGACUGAGACACGGCCCAGACUCCUACGGGAGGCAGCAGUGGGGAAUAUUGGGCAAUGGGCGCAAGCCUGAUCCAGCCAUGCCGCGUGAGUGAUGAAGGUCUUAGGAUUGUAAAGCUCUUUCACGCGGUGAAGAUAAUGACGGUAACCGAG
rnacentral:rRNA from 1 species